CAUUUAUCAGUGUUUACCUUUGUGUUUGUUCAUGUUUAUUGCAGCCGCCCUGUUAACUGAGCGUCAUCAUUUUAAUGCUGUGGUGCUUCAGUACAGACCAAUCAGAUAACACAGUGGUACAGGGAGACUCCUCUGUGUUUAUCUGACAGAAGAACAUCAGCUUCAUCCACCACAGACUCGAGGCUGGACCGCCUGACUUUAACAAGAAUAUGAAGCCUCAGUUAUCCACACCAGCAGGUGGCGCGAACGCACCGGUCUCACGCCCUUUCACCUCCGACAGCGAAGAAGAAGUGGUGGAGUAAAAGAAGAAGAAAGGAGCGCAGAGCUGGAGUUAGCAGGGUGUCAUCGAGCUCUGUUGCCAUGGACGACCAUGCUGACGUUGCCAUGGAGAACAAGACAGAGGUCCCGGCCUCUGACGCACCGUCCUCUCCUGACAAAGAGCAGGCAAAGCCCGCUGCGCGUCAGUCACACCGCCGCACAUUAGGGAGGAGGGGCCAGAGAGCAAAGAGGCGGGGUCUUAUAGAGAAGAAGCGGGGUCAGAAAUCGAAGAGGCGGGGCCAGGAGGACAAGAAGGAGGGCGUGACGGUGAAGAGGACGUGGAGCGGCGGGAAGCGCCGUUGGGACAAGAAGCAUUACUGCGUGUUCUGCCGACGGCCACAGGUGAAGAUCGCACGCCACCUGCUGAGGAAGCAUGCCGACGAACAGGAAGUACUGGCUGCCAGCACCCUGCCGACAGGCUCCAAAGAACGCCACCUGCUGCUGGAGCACCUGCGCUGCCGAGGCAACUAUCUACACAACAUCGAGGUGAUCCGGCAGGGCACUGGUGAGAUUGUGCCAUGGCGUCAGCCCUCUGAGGAUGUGGAUGCGAGGAACUACCUGCCAUGCCCAUUGUGUCUUGGAUUUUUCCUUCGUGCUGACCUGUGGAAGCAUCAGGUGUCGUGUCGCAAGAAGCUCGCUAUUAACCCGUCCAAAGCCGAAGCGAACGCUGACCCCGCCAACGACGCCACCUCUGGUUCCACAAGUAAGUUGCCUUGUGAUGUCACCAGAGAGGACAUGCCUGAGGAUUCCCUUGGUGAGACUGCAGAGACCGGGACCAAACAGCUUAUGACCUCUGACCCAGGUGUUGAUCAAAACACGACCUCUGACCCCGCUGUGAACCGAGCCAGGAAACGGACCAGAGUGCAGGCAGCAGCGUCGCGGCUCCUGCCCAUCUCCAGUGGAGCGUCUGAGAGCUGCAGUGAAAUCCUGCAUCGCAUGAACCAAGAUAAUGUGUCUUACGAGGUGAAGUCUGAUUGGCUGAUCUGUAAGUAUGGCAACAAGCUGAUGGGGAACCAGGAUAGUGGUCAGAGGAGGUACGACUACGUAAGCCAAAAGCUCCGGGAACUUGGCAGGUUGCUCCUGGCCGCUAAAUCCCUUGACUCCGGCAUCCAGAGCCUGCAGGACCUGCUGGCCCCAGGCCGCCUUAGCCUGGCGCUGUCCGCAGCCAGGAAGGCAGCGGGAAACAGGUGGAGCCGCCCUCCACUGGCGGUGAAAACAACACUAAAGACAGUCUGUGAGAUUGCUAUUGGAGAGAGCCUGCAGGAUGGAGACUGGGAGGCUGCCGCCAAGACCACCGACUUCUACCACAUGCUGGGCCGGGAGUGGGACAACCUGGGGCUGCAGAACCCAGAUCCAGCUGCUACAGAUGGAGGAACUAAACCAAAGAAACGACCUGUCCAGAUAAGACUGGACAAGGACCUCAGACAAGAAGUUCUGUCAAAGUGUUCUAACAAACCAGUGACCUCUGCGAUUCCACCUGAAGCCAGAAUGCAGACAUCUGUCUCAGUCCCUGUGGCUCCCAGGAAGGUCCGACGGCGGCCCUGGUCCUCUGCAGAGAAGGAGGCCAUCUGGAGGCAGUUAGGAGUCCAUGUUCUGGUCCAGUCCGUACCAGGUAAGGAGGUCUGUCAGCGCUGUCUGGACUUGGAACCUGUCCUCAGGGGGCGGCACUGGAAGGACAUCAAGAACCAGGUCCACAACCAAAUCCAGAGCCAAAAGAAGCAGCAGUUCCACGCUCAGAUGGAACUCGAGAAGAACCAGGAUCACCAAGACCAGCUCCAGAACCAGAAAAAGCCAGAGCAGCAGCAGUACCAGGCUCCAGUCGAUGAACAGGGAAAGGACCACCGUCUGAACCAGAAGAAACCACCAUACCAGUCCCAGAUGGACCAGCAUGAUCCGGAUAUUUCUCGGAAUCAGAAGAGAUCACAAUACCACAUCAACAUACACCACCAGGCCCAGGAUAGCAUCCAGAACCAGAAGAAACAACAGGAGCACACCCAGCUGGAUCACCAGGACUAUCUACACAACCACAAGAAGCAGCUGUGUACCCCUAGAGUGGACCACCAGGACCACAGCCAGGUCCAUAAGAAGCAGCUGUAUCAGAUGGACCAGCAGGCCCAGCCUCUGCAGACCCUGGACCAGGAAACAUCUCUUCUAACCAUCGCACCCUACAGACCUGAUGGGUCAAAUCGAGCCCCUGGACAUUUGCUGCUUGAGCGGGAGCACAACAUUACAACCUACCCAGUUCUGCACAGACCACCAGGACCUCACAUGGACCAGCUGCUGCCCAGAAUAGACUGGGCCGAGGAUGCUCCAGCCCAGAACUAUCCUAUCAGCAGGCCACUGGGCAGGAACCUGCUACAGGAUGUGCCCCCAGGAGGACCACCCUCUGACCCACAGUCGGGACAUGUACACUUCUGACCGACCAGGACGAGCGAUGGACGGUCCUGGUCCAGGUCUAGAGGACUUAAUGAUAGGUUGGCCCUUCUCAAAGGGUGCAUAUCAGAUUUGGUAGUAAAAAGACCUGCUUUUAUGAUAACACAUGUAAACCUUUCUUAGAAGGUCCUUGAAUUUCCUGUGUGAAAUGAGUAUUUGCCUCCUACAGGACUAUAUACCCCAUAUUAUAUACCCCCCUGUAUGUUCUGGCAGUUCCAAUGGAUCUGGUUCUGAUAUGUCAGUCUAGUCAGGAGAUCAACCUGGAUCCUGGUUGAGGUGCUGUUAGAUAGGUGAAACAGUUCAGCUGUGAUGCACCUGAGUUAUACCGACUACGUGCCAGUUCCUGAUCUUAUUAUAAAAGGCGGGUACCAAAAACCAAAACCAGCACCUUAGUGGUCCAGUGUUGGAGCCUUUGAAGAUACCUGUUCUGGGAGGAGCUCCUGCUGAAAGAUCACGGAUGGUAGUGUCAGUCAUCAGAUACUGUCUUCCAUAAUCGGAAUUUACCGGAAUUUAUUUCAUAUGAACCAGCCCACAGCUCUACUUCUUAAACCUGUAGAACUGUGGGCUGGUUCUCUGAAGGCACUGAGGCAGAACCAGCUCUGUGUUGGUGUGAAAGAGCUAAUGAAGGGAUCAAGGCCCUUUUCCCUCAUUUAGUCAUAAAGGUGUUCAAAGUUCUCUGUAUGUUUAGCGUAUGGUUCUCCUCACACUCCUCUGUGUGAUGAGCACUGGGGCACAACCCCUGACAGUGAGGCCAAACAGACUCCUCCAGGUGGUUCUAAAUGGUUCCUGCAGGUCCCUGUGAGUCCUGGUCUGUGGUGGUCCUGUGAUGGUACCACUGCAUCCUCAAACAUAACAAGUUGUCAUGUCACAGGUUUAUUCCAAAAUGGAUGAAAUUCAUUUUGACCUCAGUAUUCUACACACAGUACUCCAAAAAGGUUUGCUUAAAAUUCUUAAAAGAUUCAUUAAAACAUUAAAGAGAAAAAUAUAACACAUGCACAGGUAUUCUCAGCCUUUGUUAAAUACGUUGUUGAAGCACUUUUUGGCAGCAGUUACAGAAGAUGAACCUUCGCCCAAGUUCAAUGUCCAGCGCACUUUUGGACCAGGUUAUGUCUCUGUACAUUCAUCUUUUCCUUCAGAGGCCUUUGGGCAAACUCCAGGUGGGCUGUCGUAGCCUGGUUUCCUUACAGGGGUCCCCAAUCCCAGUCCACGAGGGCCGGUGUCCCUGCAGGUUUCAGAUGUGUGCUUGAUCCAUCACAGCUGAGUUAAAUGUAAAUUACAUUUUCAACAUGCCUUGGGCCUGGUAAUGAACUAAUCAUGUGAUUCAGGUGUGUUGACCCAGGGUGAGAUCUAAAACCUGCAGGGACACCGGCCCUCGUGGACUGGGAUUGGGGACCCCUGCUUUAGCACCUACUCGCCUGAGCCCGCGUUUGUUUGUGUCAUGUUCUAUUACAUUUGAGUUCCACCUCAAUAUGUGUGGGGUUGUCAUAGGAACACAACCAAAAUCCCAUGUGUCUAUGUGCCACAAACACAAUGGAGGACACUGAGGCGAUGGUAUACCCGCUGCUUGGUCUGUGGGUGUUUGUCAGACUCGAGGACCAUGAUUGUCAGUUUGUAUGUAACCAUUUCCCUUGUUGCCGAGUUUCAGAAAUGCCAGGUUUCAUCUAACUCGUGAUUCAUCUAAUGACACCUCUGGCUGGCCAGUCGGGGGCUUUUGAUGUCACAUUUUUAGACUGACUCUGCUCGGUUGGAAAGCCGGGCCAGCAUUUGCUAAAAAAGUACCUGGUACCAGGUACUACUCCCUGAUGGAAAACCAUAGAAACUAGGUUGAGCUCAGCCGAGUAGGUACUAGAUGAGGGGCGCAGAAGAUUGCCCAGAUUGCCAGACCAGAUUGGUCUCUAGGAAGAGACCCGGUGGUUCCAAAACUUCCUGUAUGGAUGGUGGAAGCCACUGUGCUCACUGGGUACGUCAGUGCUGAUCCCUGGAUCUGUGCCUCCAUACAGUCCCGCCUACAGACCUGCCUCUGACUUUGUGCUCUGUCAGUUAUGGGAGCUUAUACAGACAGGUGUGUGCCUUUCCAAAUAACGACCAGUCAGCUGAAAGGUGGACUCCAGGCGUGUUGUAGAAAUAUCUGACAGACGAUCAGUGUGCACAGCUGAACAAACAUGUGAGUGUCUGGGCUGUGAGUACUUCUGUCCAUGUUAUACUUUAGUUUUUUAUUUUCAGUGCAUGCACAAGAAUGUCAGCUGACUGUGUGCAGAGACUGUUUACUGUACUGUGUGCAGAGGUGAAAAUGAAUGUCAUGUUGGAAUAAGACUGUAACGUGACAACACGAGGAACACUGAAUGCUUCCAGGAUGAUCAUAGAUGAGAUCAUCUAUGAUGUUUCUGUGUCUCCUGCUCGUCUCCCUUUAAUCUGUGUUCAUCCACCCCUCAGUGUUUCUGCUGUCCUCUCCACUUCUUCAUGUCCCUGCAACUUCACUUUAUCACCACUAGAUGGCAGACCUCUCCCUGUUUCUGGUCCCUGUUAGAGGAUAAGAACAUGUUACAGUCCAGACUGCGAGCUGCUGCUUUUUCCUCCACAUGUCGCAUUUCUGAUGUCCUGUAGAGUCGCUGAUCCACAGGUGAUCGAUCCACAGCUGUGGCCUGCAGGAGGAACAUCAGCUCAGACACUGAAUGGCAGCAGGAGGCUCUGUGUGUGUUUAAUGUGUAAUAAAAGUGUCUGUAACUGUCUGUAUCCUGUGAUGGAGCCCUGUCAUACUCGGUCCUUUUAUUUCAUUAUAUCUGUUUCAAUAAACGAGUCCCCGCUCUGUGAAGGUUCAGACUCAUGUUCUUCAGUCUGGAGGAGACUUCAGCAGCUCUCUAACUGUGCUUCUGUAUUUCUUCAUGAGUUAAAGGUCCGCUGUUUAGACACACCUGGACAGGUUAAGAUGAUGUGCGGAGCAGAUGGAGAGACAGAUGCUUUUAUUUAUGCACAGGAAACGGAAUUCUAUUAUUCAUUAUGAUGAAGAUGAUGACGAUGAUGAUGGUGUGCCAUUAAGAAACAUGUAGAAUAUUCAUGAUAAAACCAAGUUUACCACAGAGACGAGGUCUGAGUUUGGACCUCAGCACGACUGUAAUAGAAGAAAGUUGGGUUUAAGUUACUGCAUCAUAAACUCAUCAUAAAUAAACUGUGUGUUAAUAAACCAGAACAUGAGGACCUGUCUCUGCUCUACUGUGAAGUCAAUCUGCAGAUUACCUGAAGGUUAAAACACACCUGAGGUACUCACAGAGAGGAUACAGCCAAUCAGGAGGGCCGAACACAGACCACAAAGCACAUGUUUCUGGUUUGUGAUUGGCUGAGCGGUCGACAGCCGUCGUGUUUAAACAGAC
ensembl:lncRNA